AGCAGCCGCGGUAAUUCCAGCUCCAAUAGCGUAUAUUAAAGUUGUUGCAGUUAAAAAGCUCGUAGUUGAAUUUCGGGAUCAAGUCGUCGGUCGUGCUCAGGUACGUACUGGCGUCAUUGAUUUCUCCCUUCUGACGAACCAUGAUGUCAUUAAUUUGGUGUCAUGGGAAAUCAGGACUGUUACUUUGAAAAAAUUAGAGUGUUUAAAGCAGGCUCACGCUUGAAUACAUUAGCAUGGAAUAAUGAAAUAGGACGUUCGAUCCUAUUUUGUUGGUUUUUAGGAUCAACGUAAUGAUUAAUAGGGAUAGUUGGGGGCAUUAGUAUUCAAUUGUCAGAGGUGAAAUUCUUGGGUUUAUUGAAGACUAACUACUGCGAAAGCAUUUGCCAAGGAUGUUUUCAUUAAUCAAGAACGAAAGUUAGGGGAUCGAAGACGAUCAGAUACCGUCGUAGUCUUAACCAUAAGCUAUGCCGACUAGGGAUCGGAUGAUGUUAAUUUUUUAAUGACUCAUUCGGCGCCUUAC
rnacentral:misc_RNA from 2 species